GCCAGGUCGACCUGGGGCAGGCGGGCGUCGGAGGGGCAGUUUUGAAGCCCGAGCGAAGAGGCAGAGGGCGGGAUGCGGACGAAGCCAGGGAGUUCACGAAACUUCUGGAGUUCUCAGUUUCCCCCUAAGUCGACUGGGGCUGGGUCCCGUGCCGCCAGGCGGGCUGGCUGAGGAGAUGGGCUGGGGCGACAAGACAGCAGCCACCUGGCCCGGGUACUUGGGGUCAGACCGGCUUCGAGGCCCCCGGACCGCCGUGUUAUCAGGACGCAGCCAGAGGGACCCCGGGAAGAUGGGAGUGAGAGCUGCCUUCCUCUGCAAAAGUCACCAGGCACCACCUCACUGGUGAAGGCCAGAGACCCUACACUGUCCCAAGACCACCUGACUGGGCUGCCUCCCUGCCACCUGGCUGCCAGCCUCUCUCGGAGCGCCUGCAAGCUAUUCCUCCAACCCAGAGUUUCCUUCCCAGCUAAGGGCCUUUGCACCUGCUGUUCCUUCUGCCUGGAAGUUCACCGCAGACUAUCCCAGGGCCUCCAUCCUUCCCAUUGCAUGGUCCCCAUCAGCUGCCGCCGCCUCUGAGAGCUCAGUCUCCACUGGCCAUCCUGUCUCUCAGCCCACUGCACUCUCCACUCUGCCAGAAAGUCCCCCAAUCAGUGACAACACAGGUCAUGGUCCACACCUCACCUGGUUUGUCCACAGUGCCCAGCAUCUGGCACAGAGCAGCUGUGUGCAAAUCCUGGACAGGUGGGCAAGCUGAUGGUGUCCAGAGGCCCCUGGUCCUUAAGGGCAGGGGUGGGGAUGGCUCAGAGGACAUAAACUUGCAGACCCGGGUUCAAAUCUGAGCUCAUCAGCUCAUUUAGUCCUCACACAGCCCAUGUUGGGAGAGCUAGUGUUCUCCCUGUUUUGCUGAUGAGACACAGAGAAGGUCAGCACCUCCCGAAGAUUGCCCAGCAAGUUGGGAGUAAAGCUGGUGCAAUUCCCACAUUUAGUCACUAAACAGGGUGUCCUGUACUUGGUGUGUUCAAGCGGAAAUCCACACAUGGGAAGGUCAAGGCAACAUCCCUGGUGCUCCAGCUUUGAGGUCCUAGGAAAAAGGGAACCCCCAUUAAGUGCUUCUAUUGCCUGGAAGUUCAGCACCUGUAAAAGCAGCCCCUUCCCAUUUCACUGUGGCUGCAUUUUAAUUCUUAUUUUUUAAAUGUUUAGCUUAAGGCCAGGCACAGUGACUCACACUAUAAUCCCAGCAAUUUGGGAGGCUGAGGCGGGAGAAUCACUUGAGCCUAGGAAUUCAAGACCAGCCUAGGUAACAUAGUGGGACCCUAUCUCUACAAAAAAUAAAAAAUUAGCCAGUCGUGGUGGCAUGCUCCUAUAGUCCCAGCUUGGAGGUUGAGGUGGGAGGAUCACCUGAGCCUAAGAGGUCAAGGCUAGAGUAAGCCCUGAUCCCGCCACCGCAUCCCAGCCUAAGUGAAAGAGCCAGAG
rnacentral:lncRNA from 1 species